rnacentral:lncRNA from 1 species
AGAACUUCUGAUCGAAAAUUGCUUCUGCAAAAGAUAAAAAUGCUGCAUCGUCCAAAAACACUUGUUGGUCAGGAAUACCUUCCGACAAAUCCAGAAAUGCAGCGGCAGGUUCUUUUGGCAGAACUUUGUCGUCCCGAACAGGUUCUUCCAAGGACAGAUACGUGGCAACUGGUUCUUCAGGGAAAGUUUUGCCGUGUGGAUCAGUUUCUGUUGUGGAAGCAGGAGCUUCUAAGCCGGGGAUCUUUUCAUCAAAACUGGAUUCCGUCAAUGACAGAUCCGUGGUAAGAGGUUCUUCAGUGUUGUGUGGACCAGCUUCUGUUGUGUAACCAUGAGCUUCUGAGCCUGAGAUCUCUUCAUCAAAAACAGCUUCUGUAGACGGUGGACAUGUGGUAUCGGUUUCUUUUAGAGAGAUCUUUUCUUCAGGUACAGCUUCUGCCAAAGACAGAUAUGGAAGUGAACUCUUCUCAGUAUCUUCAACUGGUCUGCUCGAUGAUCCCUGCUUCUUUGUAGCAAUAACACUAGCUUCGUUGAACUCGUUCUGCAUAUGUUCGCUUACAGACUUAGGCUCAGCAAAAACUGGAGGUUUAGAUGGCGCAAGUCCAAGGAGUCCCCCGUUGCUCCAUAUAUUUACUGGUUCAACAAUUGUACCAUCAGAUGUUUCAACUUCUUUUUCCAAUGUGUUUUUUGCAGGAAGAUCCAUGGAAUCAGGAACUUCUGGUGAGAACUUCUGAUCAAAAAUUGCUUCUGCAAAAGAUAAAAAUGCUGCAUCGUCCAAAAACACUUGUUGGUCAGGAAUACCUUCCGACAAAUCCAGAAAUGCAGCGGCAGGUUCUUUUGGCAGAACUUUGUCGUCCCGAACAGGUUCUUCCAAGGACAGAUACGUGGCAACUGGUUCUUCAGGGAAAGUUUUGCCGUGUGGAUCAGUUUCUGUUGUGGAAGCAGGAGCUUCUAAGCCGGGGAUCUUUUCAUCAAAACUGGAUUCCGUCAAUGACAGAUCCGUGGUAAGAGGUUCUUCAGUGUUGUGUGGACCAGCUUCUGUUGUGUCCCCACGAGAUUCUGAGCCUGAGAUCUCUUCAUCAAAAGCAGCUUCUGCAGACGGUGGACAUGUGGUAUCGGUUUCUUCUAGAGAGAUCUUUUCUUCAGGUACAGCUUCUGCCAAAGACAGACAGGUGGCAACAGGCUCUUCAGGGAAAGAUUUGUUGUGUGGGCCAGUUUCUGUUGUGGAAGCAGGAGCUUCUAAGCCGGGGAUCUCUUCAUCUAAAAUAGAUUCGGUCAAUGACAGAUCCGAGG